UUAUGUUGCAAGUACAUGAUAGUACAUUUGCUACAGUAAGGGACCGAUAAUAGUUAUUAAGCGUACUAAAUAAGUGCGCCGGCCUUACUGGGAGGGUCUCCGUACAUUGAGGCCUUUUUUUGUUGCCA
rnacentral:ncRNA from 2 species